UUGGAAAGCGUUGGAAACUUUUCCCUCGAGAAGGCUCAAUUUGGCCGUGUCUUGUUAUCUCCGCUACCAAACUAUCCGGUGAUGAGAACCAUUGAUCUCUAUCGACUUUUCUUCAGAAACUCAAAACUAUUUAACACCGGUUAAAUGAUUUAUGGGGACACCACUUAUGUUCCGCCAUUUGUAGUGACGAGCCCGAUAUGGUUAACAACCGAAGAGUUCUGCAAAGAUUAGAGGGAAAGUUCUUUCCUUGUACCCCCAAUUACUAAAGAGCAUUAACUCACCCAUUCUCCAACGUAGUUGUAGUUAAGCUUCGGGUAAAGGUACACAAUGCGAGCUCAUCACUCAGAAAGUGGAUGUCCAGUGGUGAAAGGAAACAAAUAGCCACCCACAAAGUGGUUCCAUGUUCUCGAGUUCAAGGUCUAGGAUAAGAAAGAGCCUGAAGA